CAAAAUUUCACAGGAGAAAUCAAUUGGACAGUUUUAGUUGCGAUAACAUCAAUAAGGCAAGCUGACCAAUCUCUUCUGAUUUUGCUGCUUGCCUAACCGGCGGGCGGCACCCUCCC
rfam:Serratia odorifera DSM 4582 genomic scaffold SCAFFOLD1, whole genome shotgun sequence.